GUUUUUUAGAAAUAAAUUUAAUUUAUGAAUUUUUAAUUUAUUUAUUAAUUUUUAAAUAAAUAAAUUUUUUAAUUUAAAUAUUUUAAGGGAUAAGCUUUAAAAUAAAUUAUUAUAAAUUAAAUAAUUUAAUAUUAAAAAUAUAUGCUUAGAAUUAGCAAUUAUUAUUAAUUUUGUUAAAAAUUAUUUAUUAAAAUAAUAAUAUUUAUUUAAUUUUAAUUUUUUAUAAAAAUUUUUAUAUUAAUUUUAAUUAUAAAUUAAUAAUGAUUAAAUUAGUAUAUAAUUAAAUGUAAAAAUAAUUUUUGUUGAAAAGUUUAUAUAAAGAACUCGGCAAAUAUUUUACUCGCCUGUUUAACAAAAACAUGUCUUUUUGAGUUAAUUUAAAAGUCUAACCUGCCCAAUGAAAAUUUUUUAAUGGCCGCAGUAACUUAACUGUGCAAAGGUAGCAUAAUCAUUAGUCUUUUAAUUGAG
rnacentral:rRNA from 1 species